UGUGUGAUGUGGUUGUGGUGGGUAGUAUUGAUAAGAAUGGACAUUGGGCCUAAGUCAACCCCAAAAGCUAGCUUAUGAGGUGAGGAUUGCCCAAGCCAUAUAAGGAGACCAAGGAUCUCAAAUCCCUCAGAUGUGGGACAACUCAACACCCCCAUCACGCCCAGAUCUCUGGAGCGUAGACAACAUAAAUGGGGGCCCAACAUCGGUAACAAUAAUUGGGAUGGGCCUGGCUCUGAUACCAUGAUAAGAAUGGACAUUGGGCCUAACUCAAC
rnacentral:lncRNA from 1 species